GUUGAGUGUGUGUCUUCAGGCUCCUGUACCUCCUCCCUGAUGGUAACAAUGAGAACAAGACAUGACGGGGGUCCUUAAUGAUGGACGCCGCCUUUCUGAGGCAUCGCUCCUUGAAGAUGUCCUGGCUCCUGUGGAGAUAUAGUACAGUAACAGGUGCUUCCAUCCCAACGAGCCCACACCGUCUGAUUAUUCAACUAGCCCGUACGUCUUUGGAAUGUGGGAGGAAACCAGAGCACCCAGAGAAAACUCACGUGAUCACGGGGACAACGUACAAACUCCUUACAGACGGUGGCGGGAAUUGAACCCCGAUCUUUACAGCUGAUGCUGUUGAGUCUCGGGGAUAAGCACCUCCCAUAGCCUACUAGACUAGUCUUACUGGAGCCAUCUGAAUUCCUAUGGAGAGAGAUUAGGAGUGUGUUCUUAUUGCCCUUCUACUAAAUGUACAAUAGACGUUCCAUACUUGAGAAAACCUGAGGUUCAUUGCCUUCCUUUUCAUCUAAUUUGUUAAAAAUAAUAAACCUCAGCAGCCAGCCCAGUCCGGAGUGCAUUGUCAGUCGAGUCACUGUACUCUCUGCUUCAUUUUUCAUUUGCAAGGCACAUCGCCAUGGGAACAGUCCCCUACCAAGAUCACUAACAAAGAAUGAAGCCUGAAAACUUUACCAGACUUCAACAGGUGCACAGCGGAGAUUAUCCUAACUGGUUGCAUCACGGCCCAGUAUGGAAACACCAAUGCCCAGGAACAGAAAUUCUACAGAAAGUGGUGCAUGCAGUGCAGUCCAUCCUGGGCAAAGUCCUCCCACCACCGAGCACAUUUGCAUGGAACGCUGUCACACGAAAGCAGUAUCAACCAUCAAAAACCCCCACCAUCCGGACCGUGCCCUCUUCUCACCACUACCAUCAGGCAGCAGGUCUCACCCCACCAGUUUCAGGAACAGUUCCUACGCUACAACAAUCAGCAUGGAGAACUCCACUCACCACAACUCCGAAUUGACUCCACAAACCACAGGCUCAUUUUCAAGGACUCUUUACAGUUCAUGUUCUCAGUAUUAAUUUUUUAUUUGCACUAUUUGUCUUCUUAUGCAUAUUGAUUGUUUGUGUCUUUGCUUAUCUGUAGUUUUUUAAAUAAAUUCUAUUGUAUUUCUUUAUUUUCUGUAAAU